rnacentral:rRNA from 1 species
AUUGAACGCUGGCGGCAUGCUUUACACAUGCAAGUCGAACGGCAGCACGGGUGCUUGCACCUGGUGGCGAGUGGCGGACGGGUGAGUAAUACAUCGGAACGUGUCCUAAAGUGGGGGAUAACGCAUCGAAAGAUGUGCUAAUACCGCAUAAUCUCUAAGGAGAAAAGUAGGGGAUCGAAAGACCUUAUGCUUUUGGAGCGGCCGAUGUCUGAUUAGCUAGUUGGUGAGGUAAAGGCUCACCAAGGCGACGAUCUGUAGCGGGUCUGAGAGGAUGAUCCGCCACACUGGAACUGAGACACGGUCCAGACUCCUACGGGAGGCAGCAGUGGGGAAUUUUGGACAAUGGGCGCAAGCCUGAUCCAGCCAUGCCGCGUGAGUG